rnacentral:rRNA from 1 species
AACGCGAAGAACCUUACCAGGAUUCGACAUGCCCUCUUUGGAUUUCCGAAAAGAAAUCCUUCAUUUAGUUGGGAGGAGCACAGGUGCUGCAUGGCUGUCGUCAGCUCGUGUCGUGAGAUGUUGGGUUAAGUCCCGCAACGAGCGCAACCCUCGUCCUCUGUUGCUAACAGGUUAGGCUGAGCACUCUGAGGAAACUGCCGGUGAUAAGCCGGAGGAAGGUGGGGAUGACGUCAAGUCCUCAUGGCCCUUACAUCCUGGGCUACACACGUGUUACAAUGGCGAUGACAAUGGGUCGCGAUCGCGCAAGCGCUAGCUAAUCCCCAAAAGUCGCCUCAGUUCGGAUUGUACUCUGCAACUCGAGUACAUGAAGCUGGAAUCGCUAGUAAUCGUGGAUCAGCACGCCACGGUGAAUACGUUCCCGGGCCUUGUACACACCGCAUAC